rnacentral:rRNA from 1 species
UACGGAGGGUGCAAGCGUUGUCCGGAAUCACUGGGCGUAAAGGGCGCGUAGGCGGCUCAUGAAGGCUGUGGUGAAAGUCCGGGGCUCAACCUCGGAUCGGCCGUGGCGACUCGUGGGCUGGAGCACUGUAGAGGCGGGUGGAAUUCCGGGGUGUAGCGGUGGAAUGCGUAGAGAUCCGGAAGAACACCAGUGGCGAAGGCGGCCCGCUGGGCAGUGGCUGACGCUGAGACGCGACAGCGUGGGGAGCAAACAGG